rnacentral:rRNA from 1 species
CGCGUAGGAAUCUACCUGGUAGUGGGGACAACAUGUGGAAACGCAUGCUAAUACCGCAUACGCCCUAAGGGGAAGCGGGGAUCUUCGGACCUCGCGCUAUCAGAUGAGCCUGCGUUAGAUUAGCUAGUUGGUGGGGUAAAAGCCUACCAAGGCGACGAUCUAUAGCUGGUCUGAGAGGAUGAUCAGCCACACUGGGACUGAGACACGGCCCAGACUCCUACGGGAGCAGCAGUGGGGAAUAUUGCACAAUGGGGGAAACCCUGAUGCAGCCAUGCCGCGUGUGUGAAGAAAGCUCUAGGG